GACGAACGCUGGCGGCGUGCUUAACACAUGCAAGUCGAACGGAAAGGCCCUGCUUUUGUGGGGUGCUCGAGUGGCGAACGGGUGAGUAACACGUGAGUUACCUGCCCUUGACUUUGGGAUAACUUCAGGAAACUUGGGCUAAUACCGGAUAGGAGCUCCUGCUUCAUGGUGGGGGUUGGAAAGUUUCGGCGGUUGGGGAUGUACUCGCGGCUUAUCAGCUUGUUGGUGGGGUAGUGGCUUACCAAGGCUUUGACGGGUAGCCGGCCUGAGCGGGUGACCGGCCACAUUGGGACUGAGAUACGGCCCAGACUCCUACGGGAGGCAGCAGUGGGGAAUAGUGCACAAUGGGCGGAAGCCUGAUGCAGCAACGCCGCGUGCGGGAUGACGGCCUGCGGGUUGUAAACCGCUUUCGCCUGUGACGAAGCGUGAGUGACGGUAAUGGGUAAAGAAGCACCGGCUAACUACGUG
rnacentral:rRNA from 1 species